rnacentral:rRNA from 1 species
GACGAACGCUGGCGGCAUGCCUAACACAUGCAAGUCGAACGGAACUUGUUGAAUGAAGUUUUCGGAUGGAUUUUGACAAGUUUAGUGGCGGACGGGUGAGUAACGCGUGAGCAACCUGCCUUUCAGAGGGGGACAACAGUUGGAAACGACUGCUAAUACCGCAUAAUGUAUUUUAGGGGCAUCCCUUUAAUACCAAAGAUUUAUUGCUGAAAGAUGGUCUCGCGUCUGAUUAGCUAGAUGGCGGGGUAACGGCCCACCAUGGCGACGAUCAGUAGCCGGUCUGAGAGGAUGAACGGCCACAUUGGGACUGAGAUACGGCCCAGACUCCUACGGGAGGCAGCAGUGGGGAAUAUUGCACAAUGGGGGGAAACCCUGAUGCAGCAACGCCGCGUGAACGAUGAAGGCCUUCGGGUCGUAAAGUUCUGUCCUUGGGGAAGAAGUACAUGACGGUACCCUUGGAGGAAGCCCCGGCUAACUACGUG